UGUUUGAUCCUGGCUCAGGGUGAACGCUGGCGGCGUGCUUGACACAUGCGAGUCGAACGGUAUGUGGCAACACAUAGAGUGGCGAACGGGUGAGUAACACGUGGGAACGUAUCUUUUGCCAGGGGGAUAACUGACCGAAAGGACAGCUAAUACCGCAUAAGUCCGAGAGGAGAAAGGUGCAACAGCAUCGGCAGAAGAGCGGCCCGCGGUCCAUCAGCUAGUUGGGGGGUAACGGCCCACCAAGGCGACGACGGGUAGCCGGCCUGAGAGGGCGACCGGCCACACUGGAACUGAGAUACGGUCCAGACUCCUACGGGAGGCAGCAGUGGGGAAUAUUGGGCAAUGGGGGAAAGCCCUGACCCAGCGACGCCGCGUGAGGGAAGAAGGCCUUCGGGUCGUAAACCUCUUUUGUACGGGAA
rnacentral:rRNA from 1 species